GGCCGUGUGGCUCAAUGGCUGAGCAUCAGCCUGCGACUGAAGGGUCAUGGGUUCGAUUCCGGUCAAGGGCA
rnacentral:tRNA from 1 species